UGACUUUGCUCAAUCGACUAAUCAGCGAAUCGGGUUUUGGAUUCGAUCAGACCCCGGGCCCGUAUGAAAUCUAUGGUCGGUCCCCACCUGAAGAAACGAGAGGCAGAGAGAAACCGAAGAGAUGAGCUAACGGCAUCGACAAGCCACACGAUUCGAUUCUCUACCAUGAUAUAUAAUAUAUAUAUUGUUUCCUUUGACAAGUCGCAACACAAAUUCCAAUACCCAUUUUCAGUUUCCUAGAUUUUGAAACAUGGAAGCUUGGUGAUUUUGAUAAGGUUUAUAUUGAGUUAACAAAAGAUGUUGCCUGUUUGCUCUGCCACUCAGUGUUGUUCCUCUCAUUCUCAGAUAACAUUCCAUGGAGGUCUGCGACCAUUUUGCUCAGUCUGGAAGGAUUUCGAGUCCAGAUGUUAUGUAGAAGACAUGGUACUUUUGGGAAUGUCAAAUAUAACACAUCACCAAAGAAUUUCCUUCAAAACACAAGCUAUAAAGUCUUUCUACUCCAAUAUUAUUGAAAGCUUUGCUUUCAUUAAUGAUCAUUAUUGCCCAAAUGAACUAGGCAACAUUAAUUGCAACUUUUAUAAGGAUUGGGAUUCUUCAGUUGGAGCAAUAGAUGAACUGCACCCACACCCUAUGGGAGGGGGGUAAACUGAAAUUCUUAGAAAGUUAUAACAUAUCUGAUGUUGAAGAAGGACCUUUGAACUCUGCAGACCAGUUUGCUGAUAAUACAGAUAGUUUAAUACGACUUGUGGAACCUGAAAUAACAUCAACUAUUGAUAUUACACCAGAGAAUCCCAGUUUGGGAUCUGAUUCCCUGGAAAUGGGUAACGAUUCAUUAUCUAGUGCAAAGGCUGGUUUUGAUGAUUUUUUGGGCGAGGUUAGGGACUCCAUCAACACUUCAAUAAAUAAGGGAGGAAAUGUUGUGCAAAGCUCACUAGACACAAUUACUUCAGAAGCAGUAGAUGGUGCCUUGAGUAAAGUAUUCUCAACUUUUGAUGAAACAGGAGAAUUAGCUGGCGAUAGAUUGACUAGCUUUUCAUCUGGUUUGAGGGAAGCUACACAAAAAGCUACUGGCACUUCUGUUGAUGUUCUCAGAGUUGCAAUCGUUGCAGUGGAGGAAUCUAUAGCAAAAGGGGCUUCUUUUGUUGUUUAUUCUUAUGGGUCUGCCAAGGAUUUGCUUCCUCCAGAGAUUAGGGGUGCACUGAAUCUGUCUGAAGAAAGGGUAACAGAGAUUUUGAGGCCAAUUGGUGUAACUUUUCAACUGGUUUACAUUGCUAUUGAGGGGCUGGAGAAAAGUCUUGGCUUGGAUCAGAUUGUGCAGGGGUUUUUAUAGGGUGUGGGUAUAUGGUGGUUACUCUGGAGAUUUGUCUCCGCAAUUAACUUUGGAGCUCUUGGCAGGGAAGGAAGACGCCAUACUUAUUGAUGUCUGGCCUGAGGCAAGACAGUAAAUUUUUCUGGCCUUUUUUGUUCUUAAGUUUCUUUUGUUAGAAAUUCUAGUACCUGAAUGAGAGACACUAAAGCUGACUGCUCAGACAUUUACUGAAGGGUCAGUACUGUUUUUUCAACUCUGUUCAUUAAUACCUUCUAUCUUUUAGCUACCCCGUUUCAUAUUUUCAAUAUUUAAUUUCUUUUCACUAGGAAAUAUUAUUUACCAUCCACCUUGCAACCCCAUUUCUUUUACAUCAUAGUAAAAAAAUCUCAAAUCUGGCACCCUCAUUAAUUUCCUUUUUUCCUCCUUAACUUGGCAUUGAACUUGGUGGACAUUGUUUAUAUGAGGGUUCUCAGAGAAAGAGAUGGCAUUCCUGAUCUUAGGCGAGUUGCUCGGUUUCGCUAUGCAAGUGUAACUCUACCAGAGGUUGAUGGCCCAGUAAGGAAGCUUUUAAAGGGUGGACGAGAUCUUAAUGACAUCUUAACUGCUGCAGUCAUUCGAAACUUGAAAGCUGUACAGGACAGGUACCAGGUAAUAGUUAUGGAUGCUGAUGGUUCUCGUUCUAAAGGCAUCGCUAGAUCCUUGAGAAAGCUUGGGGUUAAGGCAAGU